rnacentral:rRNA from 1 species
UAGUAAUCGCGGAUCAGCAUGCCGCGGUGAAUACGUUCCCGGGCCUUGUACACACCGCCCGUCACACCAUGAGAGUUGGGAAUACCCGAAGCCUGUGAGCUAACGUAAGAGGCAGCAGUCGAAGGUAGAAUCAAUGAUUGGGGUGAAGUCGUAACAAGGUAGC